rnacentral:rRNA from 1 species
GAUGAACGCUGGCGGCGUGCCUAAUACAUGCGAGUCGAGCGGACAGAUGAGGAGCUUGCUCCUCUGACGUUAGCGGCGGACGGGUGAGUAACACGUGGAUAACCUACCUAUAAGACUGGGAUAACUUCGGGAAACCGGAGCUAAUACCGGAUAAUAUAUUGAACCCCAUGGUUCAAUAGUGAAAGACGGUUUUGCUGUCACUUAUAGAUGGAUCCGCGCCGCAUUAGCUAGUUGGUAAGGUAACGGCUUACCAAGGCAACGAUGCGUAGCCGACCUGAGAGGGUGAUCGGCCACACUGGAACUGAGACACGGUCCAGACUCCUACGGGAGGCAGCAGUAGGGAAUCUUCCGCAAUGGGCGAAAGCCUGACGGAGCAACGCCGCGUGAGUGAUGAAGGUCUUCGGAUCGUAAAACUCUGUUAUUAGGGAAGAACAAAUGUGUAAGUAACUAUGCACGUCUUGACGGUACCUAAUCAGAAAGCCACGGCUAACUACGUG